UACGUAGGGAGCAAGCGUUGUCCGGAAUCAUUGGGCGUAAAGCGCGUGUAGGCUGUCUAUUAAGUCGGGUGUGAAAUCCCUGGGCUCAACCGAGGAAGUGCAUUCGAAACUGAUAGACUAGAAGAUGGUAGAGGAAGGUGGAAUUCCAAGUGUAGAGGUGAAAUGCGCAGAUAUCGGGAGGAACACCAAUGGCGAAGGCAGCUCGCUGGGACGUUACUGACGCUGAGACGCGAAAGCGUGGGGAGCAAACAGG
rnacentral:rRNA from 1 species